AUGAGGGACAUCUUUUUGAUUUUGAAAAUGCGAAGAUUCUAACCAAGGAGACCAAUUGGUUCAAGCGUAGUUUCAAAGAGAUGUUGCUUAUAAGAAAACACCCCAAUUCUGUGAACUCGAGAUCUGAUAUUGGUUCACUCAGUAUUGCGUAUUCGAAUUUGAUAAAGGAAAUAAAUAAAUAGUUUUUCUCGAGUGCACGCAUUCCGACCGCGUAUGUGCGAUGUUCUUGUUUCAUUCAUAUCAAUGCGUCCAUACCUACCUGUACGUCACGUUAAUUUGAGACCCCGAGAUGAACCUGCUUUUUUCGAAUGAUUUUACGAGUUUGAAUUUUUCAGACGAUUUUUAAUUCAUUAUUCAUAAGCCUGAAGAAGAGAAGAAUUUUUCUCGAAACGUUGCUGCGUGAAUAAAUUGUAAAUAAAGUGUUCCUAAGACUGAAAA